GUUCAUUGAAAUGCUCUCCCAGUAAUAUAAAGCUAUAUAUCUGAGUACACAGAGGACGAGUGCCCUGGAGAAUAAGUUUUCUUUAUUUUAAGGCGCAAUUUGGGCAUUUCCUAGGCAGCCACGGCGAUCUAUUAGAUUUGCUUUAACGAAGCUAUCAACCGGUAGAAGAUUGGUUUGUUCAGCAACCGGACACAGAAAACAACUUCAUUCUGCUCUCGGAGCGCGUUGGGCCUUGUAAUAAAUUUGGGAGAAGAUCGCGAUCUGGAAAUUCGUUUGUCAGUCCUGUAAAGAGUGAGCAAUUCUAGGAUCGCGUUGAAUUAAUUCCAGUUAUACACCAGAUUAAAUGUACGGGAUGCGUACUAGGAGUUGUUUACACUUACAAUUAUAUAUUGUACAUUAAAAAUGAAAAGGAGCAUUAUGAAUUAAAAGGUUCUCGGCUUUGUGCAGAGUCAGAUUAUCUUUAGUCACAAAUGAACUGAAAAUUUUUCCAUUAAAAUAAAUUUUGUAUGUUGCAUUGAAAUUGAUAAUUACAUGUAAGCAUUGACCAUCUGUAA